rnacentral:lncRNA from 1 species
AUAAAAGCGGGCAUCUGUGGAAAGCAGGUUUAGUUAUCGGAGGGGAACCAUUAAACGCCAGUUUAAGAGGCAGGCCGGGAGGACGGCUCGUGGAUGUUGAGACUGCUGGCCUUGGUGAUCUUGAACGCAUUAUAACGGAAAAUGGAUCUCCACUUAAGGCACAGAUCAUUCAUGGGGAUGUAUAACCGAAACCAGUCCUCUCCACCGCCUGGGGAUCUUCACUUUCGCAGUCUACGACUGCCUGUGACUCCAGAAAGACAAACUGCAGAUUGGCCAAGAUGGGGAAAUUGAGGCAGAGAAGCCAAGACAUGUGCUAAAGGUCAUGCAGGCUAUGAAUGGAGCUGGAAUGUGAACGCAGGCCAUAUGACCCCAGAGCCCAUGUUCUUGAACCCUUAGAAAGACAGCAGCAACACACCUGGUGCAGCAGCUGCUUAGUUGGAGUGGCUGACAAGAGAUCCUGGCAAAUGGGUGUUUCUUCCCAGAAAGGGAUUUUUCUCCAUGACUGCAGUUGAAUUGCAGAGUUGUAGAGACAUCCAGGUUCUUGUUAGUGUGGACGAACUAUCCAUGAAGAUCUUAAAUGCAGGAGUCUAUGAGAACACCAAUUAAUCAAUUGUCAAAUAUUUGAGUAUCUAUUG